UACAGAGGGGGGCAAGCGUUAUUCGGAAUUAUUGGGCGUAAAGGGCGCGUAGGCGGCUUUUCAAGUGACGGGUGAAAUCCCUCGGCUUAACCGGGGGAACUGCAUCUGAUACUGGAUGGCUUGAGUUCGGGAGAGGGAUGCGGAAUUCCGCGUGUAGCAGUGAAAUGCGUAGAGAUGCGGAGGAACACCGAUGGCGAAGGCAGCCCCCCUGGGCUGACACUGACGCUCAGGCACGAAAGCGUGGGGAGCAAACAGG
rnacentral:rRNA from 1 species